rnacentral:rRNA from 1 species
AGAGUUUGAUCCUGGCUCAGGACGAACGCUGGCGGCGUGCCUAACACAUGCAAGUCGAGCGAGAAACUUCGGUUUCUAGCGGCGGACGGGUGAGUAACACGUGGGCAACCUGCCUCAUAGAGGGGGAUAGCCUCCCGAAAGGGAGAUUAAUACCGCAUAAUAUGUUUUUAUCGCAUGGUAAAAACAUUAAAGGAGCAAUCCACUAUGAGAUGGGCCCGCGGCGCAUUAGCUAGUUGGUGAGGUAACGGCUCACCAAGGCGACGAUGCGUAGCCGACCUGAGAGGGUGAUCGGCCACAUUGGAACUGAGACACGGUCCAGACUCCUACGGGAGGCAGCAGUGGGGAAUAUUGCACAAUGGGGGAAACCCUGAUGCAGCAACGCCGCGUGAGUGGUGAAGGCCUUCGGGUCGUAAAGCUCUGUCUUUGGGGACGAUAAUGACGGUACCCAAGGAGGAAGCCACGGCUAACUACGUGCCAGCAGCCGCGGUAAUACGUAGGUGGCAAGCGUUGUCCGGAUUUACUGGGCGUAAAGGGAGCGUAGGUGGAUACUUAAGUGGGAUGUGAAAUCCCCGAGCUUAACUCGGGGGCUGCAUUCCAAACUGGGUGUCUUGAGUGCAGGAGAGGAAAGUGGAAUACCUAGUGUAGCGGUGAAAUGCGUAGAGAUUAGGAAGAACACCAGUGGCGAAGGCGACUUUCUGGACUGUAACUGACACUGAGGCUCGAAAGCGUGGGGAGCAAACAGGAUUAGAUACCCUGGUAGUCCACGCCGUAAACGAUGGGUACUAGGUGUGGGAGGUAUCGACCCCUUCCGUGCCGCCGCUAACGCAAUAAGUACCCCGCCUGGGGAGUACGGUCGCAAGAUUAAAACUCAAAGGAAUUGACGGGGACCCGCACAAGCAGCGGAGCAUGUGGUUUAAUUCGAAACAACCCGAAGAACCUUACCUAGACUUGACAUCUUCUGCAUUACCCUUAAUCGGGGAAAUCCAGUGCUUGCACUGGACAGAAUGACAGGUGGUGCAUGGUUGUCGUCAGCUCGUGUCGUGAGAUGUUGGGUUAAGUCCCGCAACGAGCGCAACCCUUAUUGUUAGUUGCUACCAUUAAGUUGAGCACUCUAGCAAGACUGCCUGGGCUAACCAGGAGGAAGGUGGGGAUGACGUCAAAUCAUCAUGCCCCUUAUGUCUAGGGCUACACACGUGCUACAAUGGGUGGUACAAAGAGAUGCAAGACCGUGAGGUGGAGCAAAUCUAGAAAACCAUUCCCAGUUCGGAUUGUAGGCUGAAACUCGCCUACAUGAAGCCGGAGUUGCUAGUAAUCGCGAAUCAGCAUGUCGCGGUGAAUACGUUCCCGGGUCUUGUACACACCGCCCGUCACACCAUGAGAGUUGGCAAUACCCGAAGUCCGUAGCCUAACCUGCUAAGGAGGGCGCGGCCGAAGGUAGGGUCAGCGAUUGGGGUGAAGUCGAAACAAGGUA